UGACUAUGUCCCGACGGAAGCAAGCUUGUCCCAGUAGGCACAUCGCGUCACCAGCGUCAAGCUCCCUCUGCGUCGGGAAUAGCCACAACGGGAAUCACAGAUGAAGUCGCAAGUCCAGAGAGAAACUUCAACCCACGAGAUAAAUUGUUGCGCAUCGAUAUCUUGCACAUUGCCUAAACAAAGCUGUGAAGAAAAAAAAAAAAAAGAAAGGUUUCCGCAUAGGACCCUGAGACAGAAAAUCUUGUUUUAAAACAGCUUAUACUAUGCAGAAAUAAAGUGAGUAGCGAGAUAAAUAUUCGGGUUAAAACCGUAAUAACUAGUGCACUGAUAUCUAUGCGUUUGGUCUUCUGCUAUACGUAUAUGCACACUUGGAAACCGUGGUAGUUAAAGGUCGGGCCUAUAUGGCAGGGAAGGCGUAUUGUAGCGUUUAUUGUCGUUCUUUUAUUGCCCCGUGGCGUACGUAAUUUGUGUGCAUUACCAGCUUACUGGUGAGGUUCAGUGCGUUGACAUGGAGAACUCAGUGAUCCAGUAUUAAUGCUUUCUAAGUAGCCGCAAGGAUUUAUCGCACGCGUGUCUACACUGGUGCUUGUGCCUUUCUUUCUUCUUUAUAACCAUGUAACCAUUCAAUUUUCGAGUGCCUAAACAAUUGUUGAGUGCAACAUCAUGCUCUUUUUUUAAAAAUGUUUACUUUUACCAGGGUUCUGCGGGGAAGCCUAGAUGCCUUAUGUGUCAGUUGUGUUGUAAAUGAUAUAACAUACCGGUCAAAUCGCUCAAUUUUUUCAAGACUGAUUGUCGUGGACGAAGUUGUAUGCUAGUGCACACACAUUUAUCAUGUCAUUGCGGGUAGGCCAACUUUAUCAUAACGCAAUUUCGCAGACUUGAUAAAUUUUCCCUGAGGCAAUUGUGUGACUGUAAACAUACUUGUGUAGCUCUUCUGCUUUUUGAAUAAAAACCGGAUGAAUUAUCA
rnacentral:misc_RNA from 1 species